rnacentral:lncRNA from 10 species
UUCCAGGUUGCUCACAGACCCCCUCUAGGAGAUGUUACUGUCGCUCAUUCGUAUUUCCGGUUCUACUCCUCUUCCGGGCACACUGGAGAAUUACACUUCCUUGCUGACUUGAGAUAAGUCACAGCUUUGGCCAAUGAAGUGUGAAUGGAAGUUUUCAGAACCUUUAAGAGCCUGUACGCAAUUUGCCAUGCUUUCUCUUUUUGCUUUGUCACCAAAACCUCUGUGUUCCAGAUAGUGACUACUCUGUCUGCGUGGGUCCUGGAGAGAGGAGGAUGCAGAGCACAGCACUUAGCCAACCUGCAAUGGACACGUAGAAUCCUCCUUACUGUCUUGUGUUCAAUGCUGAAGACCUGGUGUCCAUGCCUAACAUAACCUGAAGGUGCCUCUUGAAUGGAUCACAUUUGGCUUUCCUUAUGUCCUUGCUCACUAUCAUGGCUACCACGAGAGCCAAGGCAACCCACAGAGAUGGACUUGAAGUGAGAAAUCUACUCUGACCUUUGCCAGAACAUCCAGCUCAGAUUUUGGCCUAGAAACCUCAAGAAAGGCUCUGGCCUAGACUUGCCCCUUGUUCCUGUCUUCUGGCUCUUGACUGACACUGGUGCUUUCCCCCUGUGGUCCUGCAUGGUGUGUGGUGACUACCUCAUUGGGCCCUAAAACUUCUAAAAUCAUCAGGAGAUAUCACUGAAAAGGUUUCAAAACAAAGCCAUAAUCUCUAGAAAUGUGUCCUUGAUGGGUUGGUCUUCAUUUGCCUGAAGCAGCUGUUUACAGGCAGAUGAGAUCAUUGUUGGCAGCCUCCUUGACUUUCAAUGCUUCUCCCAGGAAUCACCUGCUAUAAGCAGUCAGCUGAGAUCAUCAGCAGAAGUUUCCAGUGGCUCCAGCCUUCCUCCUGAGAAUUACCCACUUCAGUGUUCC